rnacentral:rRNA from 1 species
CAGUAGCCACGGGAAUACGAAGGGGGCUAGCGUUGUUCGGAUUUACUGGGCGUAAAGCGCACGUAGGCGGACUUUUAAGUCAGGGGUGAAAUCCCCGGGCUCAACCCCGGAACUGCCUUUGAUACUGGAAGUCUUGAGUAUGGUAGAGGUGAGUGGAAUUCCGAGUGUAGAGGUGAAAUUCGUAGAUAUUCGGAGGAACACCAGUGGCGAAGGCGGCUCACUGGACCAUUACUGACGCUGAGGUGCGAAAGCGUGGGGAGCAAACAGGAUUAGAUACCCCAGUAGUCCCUGUCUCUUAUAA